CCACUUCAGAGGAGUCCCAUAAUAGGACGAAACGGCCUUCCAGUGU
rfam:Schistosoma rodhaini strain Burundi genome assembly, scaffold: SROB_scaffold0002258